AUUAACAACAAAAACAACAACAAACGAAGCGCACCGAAGCACCGUGGCGGCCAUCAACGGCGCCAACGUGCAUGAAAACAACGUUCUGCCUGAGUGGAAUACGGACUGCAGCCCAUCGCACCAGUUUAACAUGAAGAUGAGAAGGACGAGGUGAAGCUGAGCUCUGGCCUGAAGAGGUAUUACGUCAAUGUUUGUUAGCAGAGAGAAUGACAUUCUUCUUUAUAUUGUGGCAACCCACGAAUCAGCACCCUGGACAGCGCCUCAAGAGAUCAGCACCAAGGUCUGGGGCACCGACGAGCCAGAGGUCAGGAAGGGGACUGAAGGCCGAACAGCCUGUUGAACCGAGCCCUCAAAAGAGGAAGAACCUAUUUUGCCCUUUUCCCUUUUUUGUAUGUCAAAAUAAACCGUACCCUUUUUUUGUGU